AAAAAAUGAUGUGGCGGUGGAACGACAACGUAAUACAGUAUCAAUCUUGUCCGUUGGCAUUGCUCAACAGUUUCUAUGUAAACAUUCUUAUAUCAUUUAAGGGUCAUGCAUGGGAGCUUAAUCCUAACUUUGUAGUGCUCUCCUCAUAUAUUCACCCACUCAAACUCAAAAUUUUCAUGUAGUAAAGAUGAACUAGCAGGGAUUCAAAAUUUAAAUACAUACACACCCUUUUUUCCUUAGCCCCUUUUGUUUCACC
rnacentral:lncRNA from 1 species